CGGCUGAACUCUGGAGAGCGGCCGCGGCACCAUGCCGGCGGCCCACCGAAGGGGCAAGCGGACCUCAAUCCGCUAUCUCUCAGGUACCAAGGACAGAGGGGCGCGA
rnacentral:ncRNA from 2 species